CCUACGGGUGGCAGCAGUGAGGAAUAUUGGUCAAUGGGCGCGAGCCUGAACCAGCCAAGUCGCGUGAGGGAAGACGGUCCUAUGGAUUGUAAACCUCUUUUGUCGGGGAGCAAAAGACGCCACGCGUGGCGUUCCGAGAGUACCCGAAGAAAAAGCAUCGGCUAACUCCGUGCCAGCAGCCGCGGUAAUACGGAGGAUGCGAGCGUUAUCCGGAUUUAUUGGGUGUAAAGGGUGCGCAGGCGGAAGAUAAAGUGAGCGGUAAAAUUGAGAGGCUCAACCUCUUCGAGCCGUUGAAACUGGUUGUCUUGAGUGAGUGAGAAGGAUGCGGAAUGCGUGGUGUAGCGGUGAAAUGCAUAGAUAUCACGCAGAACUCCGAUUGCGAAGGCAGCAUACCGGCGCUCAACUGACGCUCAUGCACGAAAGUGUGGGUAUCGAACAGGAUUAGAUACCCUAGUAGUC
rnacentral:rRNA from 1 species